UACGGAGGGUGCAAGCGUUAUCCGGAAUCACUGGGUUUAAAGGGUGCGUAGGUGGUUUAAUAAGUCAGGAGUGAAAUCUUGCAGCUUAACUGUAAAAUUGCUUUUGAAACUGUUAAACUUGAAUUAGGUUGAGGUUGGCGGAAUGUGACAUGUAGCGGUGAAAUGCAUAGAUAUGUCAUAGAACACCAAUUGCGAAGGCAGCUGACUAGACCUUAAUUGACACUGAGGCACGAAAGCGUGGGGAGCGAACAGG
rnacentral:rRNA from 1 species